rnacentral:piRNA from 1 species
UGAUCAGAUACCUACGGUCCUACUCGGGU